CCUACGGGAGACAGCAGUGGGGAAUAUUGGGCAAUGGGCGGAAGCCUGAACCAGCAACGCCGCGUGAAGGAAGAAGGCUUUCUGGUUGGAAACUUCUUUUAUUGAGGACGUAAAAAAUGACAGUACUCAAUGCAUAAGCCACUGCUAACUACGUGCCAGCAGCCGCGGUAAGACGUAGGUGGCAAGCGUUAUCCGGAUUUACGGGGUGUAAGGGGCGCGUAGGUGGGAAUGCAAGUCAGAUGUGAAACCCAUGGGCUUAACCCAUGGACUGCAUUUGAAACUGUAGUGCUUGAGUGAUGGAGAGGAAGGCGGAAUUCCGAGUGUAGCGGUGAAAUGCGUAGAUAUACGGAGGAACACCAGUGGCGAAGGCGGCCUGCUGGACAUUAACUGACGCUGAGGCGCGAAAGCGUGGGGAGCAAACAGGAUUAGAUACCCGGGUAGUC
rnacentral:rRNA from 1 species